rnacentral:rRNA from 1 species
CCUACGGGAGGCAGCAGUGGGGAAUUUUGGACAAUGGGCGCAAGCCUGAUCCAGCAAUGCCGCGUGCAGGAAGAAGGCCUUCGGGUUGUAAACUGCUUUUGUACGGAACGAAACGGCUCUGGUUAAUACCUGGGGCUAAUGACGGUACCGUAAGAAUAAGCACCGGCUAACUACGUGCCAGCACCGCGGUAAUA